GUGGGUAUAGCUCAGUGGUAGAGCACGUGCCUAGCAUGCACAAGGUCCUGGGUUCAAUCCCCACUACCUCUA
rnacentral:tRNA from 1 species